ACCUCGCCCUCUCCAUCAGUCUCUCAUCUCGCCGUUUCGAGUCUCGAUAGCAAAAGGCGACCCACGACGGGGCGACCCAUCUCACUCUCAAUCUCUCACACCUCGCCCUCGCCGUCAGUCCUUCAUCUCGCCGUGAGCUUCUUCUUGCCGUUUCGAGUCUCGACUGCAAAAGACGGAAGCUCUCUACUCCAAACUCUACGAAAAGUACACAAAAAUCAAGGUG